AUUGAACGCUGGCGGCAGGCCUAACACAUGCAAGUCGAACGAGUGGCGGACGGGUGAGUAAUGUCUGGUAAACUGCCUGAUGGAGGGGGAUAACUACUGGAAACGGUAGCUAAUACCGCAUACCAUCAGCUUUGCCCAGAUGGGAUUAGCUAGUAGGUGGGGUAAAGGCUCACCUAGGCGACUAUCCCUAACUGGUCUGAGAGGAUGACCAGCCACACUGGAACUGAGACACGGUCCAGACUCCUACGGGAGGCAGCAGUGGGGAAUAGUGCACAAUGGGCGCAAGCCUGAUGCAGCCAUGCCGCGUGUAUGAAGAAGGCCUUCGGGUUGUAAAGGACUUUCAGCGGGGAGGCGUUACCCGCAGAAGAAGCACCGGCUAACUCCGUGCCAGCAGCCGCGGUAAUUC
rnacentral:rRNA from 1 species